CCCACUUCCCCGAGUUGCACUUUUUUGCCUAUUUUUACCGCUUUCCCUUCGUUUUGUUUUGUUGUUUAGGUAGUUUCUAACACAAAAAUAAAAUAAACCAUUUUUUCAAAAAAAGAAACAAAAAUAAAAACUUGAUCCAACGUCGAGUAUUUUUCUUAAAGACCAAACCAUUUAAAAUAAUUAUUUUCAAUCCAUUUCUAUGAUUCUCAAUUUCUUAAACCUUUCAUAUUUCAACAAUUUUCAAACUUUC
rnacentral:lncRNA from 1 species